CUCCAGCCCAGGAUGAGGAGUCCCAGCAGCACAACCUCUCUUCAAUCCCAGCCGCGCCAACCGUGUCAGCUCCCCAAACUGAAGUAACUGCUGCUAACGGAACCCACUGAGCUCUGCCACAGCCUCACCAGCUCCGAGCCCCAAUGGCUCACCCCAUGGACAGCUUCACUCUGGCCCUGCUCUGCCGUAUGGAGCAGGACAUCAAAUACCUCUCAGCUGUAAAAACCAUGAGGGACACAGUGGGGACAACACCUGCACUGCCUGAGGAAUCCACCAGCAGCCUGGCAGCCCCGAGGUGGCACAAAGCACACGCACUGAGCGCCCCAAACAGCCCCGAAGUCCCGUGCUCUGCUGGCACCUCGGGACACACACGGGUGGGGAUGGGGGACACAGCCCCAGCUGCUGCCAUCCCGGACAGCACCCGGCAGGAUCAGCACUGGCAGGAGCCCGGGUGGUGCCCAGCAGCCGUCAGCUGCACCGUCCGUCAGAGCCGGCUGCGCUCAAUGCUUGAUUGUUCUAAUAACUGUGCAGACACGUGGAAGGGGCUGCCUCGACAUUCACUGCUUGUUUGAGGAACCAUUUCCUUCUCUGCUCCGCCUGGUUUUCCAUCAGGAGGUCGCAUCCUGCAGCAGGCAGGGGGACAGUGCCGGCCGUUCCCAGCGCCAUCCGCAGCCGGCGGGGCAGGAGGGUGGGAGGACGCAGCGUUCCCCAACACCAGGAAACACAGGUGGGUGCUGUUCCAGACCCCAGCUGGCAGCCAAGCCCUGCACUCAACGUGCCCAGGAAAGCACACAACAUAAAGAGUUUUGGGUUUAUGCUGUAGUAACCUCCCCCCAUCCAGCAGUUAGAGAUGGUCACAGGGUGGCAGGAGCAUCAGGGUGUCUCAGAUUCGUCCUUCAGGAUUGCUCAGCUCUGCACCCACAGCCAGGCCGACCACAGAAAAACCAAACACCAACAGGAGUGCGGGACAGAGCAGUUCCCAAAGGCUCAGAGCAGAAACAUCAUUUCUACCUGUGAAUGGCUGUGGGAGUUGCUCAAACCACAAACCCCUGCCCAGCCUGUUCCUGCAGAAAACCACGAAGCACCUCUGCUUCCCCAGACCAGGACAUUACAGAAAAACCUGAACAUCACAGCUCCCAUAGAAAGAAUAAACCCACAGUGAAUUUGUUAUUAUCUGUUAGCAAAAGCAGCAGCUUCCCACCAAGGCUGGAAUUUCCAUCUUGGUUUGGCAGGCACAGGGCUGUGAAAUGAUUACUGUGUUUACUUUUCCUUUGCUAACUAUAAAAUCCCAUUCCACUGCCCUGCCAAGAAUGACUGAAGCUAAUAAAAUUCAGGCAUUUGGAAGAAAGCAAUAAUAAACCUCCCUUUUGGGGCCUUUAUGAUGAAAUUUCCCCACUCCAAUCAGCGAUUAUGCUGCAUUCAUGAACACUAGUGAUGUCUCCAAGUGCACCCAGAUUGACUCAAAUCAAUAUUUAGCUUUGCUAGAGACUGGGAGUCUUUCUCCUUGUGGCAGCUGAAGGCAGAAUCACUGCACAAGUCUAGAAGAAGCCUUUGAAAAAACAGCUUACAAGAAUAGGAGGGAGCAAAUACAGAGAUAUGUAUUUGUAUAUUUAUAUAUAAAAAUGUAAGCUCUUCACUUACUUAAAAACCUAUAAAAAGUGUACACACAUGAAUUCACGAAUUUACAACUCUCCAAAUAUAUUGAAAGCCUUUCAUAUAAUGCAUUGUAUAUAUUUAUAUACACAUACCUGUCUAUUCUUUAGGAGUUUUUAGUGUUUGAAAGCCUGCAAUGUUCCUGUGUUUACAUCUGCCACUCUGCCUGUUGCCGAGGCAGAAACACAUUAGCUGCUGGGGGCAAUCUGUUCUACAUCAUACCUGAGAUGGCUGGCAUGAGAUAAAAUAACACAGACCUGAAAACCAGCUUGAAAUAAAAGCCUGUGCUUGGUUUGGUCACGUAACCACGUGGGACAGCUUGAUCUGCACAAGGAAAUGGUUCUUUUUUAAGCAGUCAUGGGAACAACAGCGUCCAAAGCAGAGAUCAGAAGGCAGAAAGGAUCACUGCUGCUCCUCAGGGAACAGCACAGAUGGAGAGAAAUCAGACCCUGUUGGGGCAGUGACCAGAGCCUGCUGCCCAAAGUCAAGCCUAGGAAGCAUUCCCAUGCCAUGGCAGCAGAGAAAUCCACUGUGGGUGUGUGCUGGAUGCCACGGGCUCUGCAGCCCUGGGAGAAUCCCUCAGGAUGCAGCAGAGGACUGGGAAACACCACAAUCACUGUCCAUGUCCUCUUGCUGGGCACUGCCAGAGGAUAGUGUGCUUCUUCCUCUCAGGAAAGGGUACCAGGUGCAGGAUUAAGGGCAGAUGAAGGCAGGAAGAACACUGGCACCUGGCAGAAGAUGCUCUGUCAGAGCAGAGAUGACCCAAGAGUAACUAGACAGAGGUCAGGACUGCAAGGAGGUGGUUCAGGUCAUUUCAUCCCACACUGCUUCUCCCCCACUAAUUUCUACUUUUGCUCCACCAAACCUGGGGUAGGACAGAACACAUUGCUCCUGCCCUGAGCCAGCUCUGCCGCUGGAUAAAAGCCCACUUCCAAGGACAGAGGGAACAGGCUCCACUGUGCUCUCGCUCCUUAUCCUCCUGGAAAAAGGUGCCAAGAAUUAGAAUUACAUUUUUCGAGAGCAGCAGAACAAGCCAAGGGCCUGUCAGCUUGUCCUAAAACAACCCCUCUCUGCUCGCUGAGCACGCAGCCAGCAUUCCUGACACACACCAGCGUCCAUCGCCCCCCGGCCCCCCCAUGCGGCACGAGGCUGCCGAGCCAAAAAUCCCUCUGAAUGUGCUCUGCCUAAAACACAGCCAAAGAGUUUUUCUGUUUAAAAAGCAAGUUUAGGUCCAAAAAGAAAGGAGGUUUUCAGCGAGUGAUUUUAACUAGGCCCUCUGGCACUCGACAGUUCCUCUCUUGUUAUGGAUGCUAAGGGUGUUAAGAGAUGAGGCUCCACGAAGCACGAACGUGAAGUCACAGAGCUUUAGCAAGGGCUGUUGCCAUGUUCAAUAUGUUAUUACAGCUCCAUCACCACAGGCACAAAGAGCAGCACCUCAUCUCUGCCAAAUCCAUCUCUGAAAUCACUCCCCCACUCCAUCCCCUCCAGCAGCAGCAGGCAAACACCACUGAUUGCUGUUGCAUCUCCUCCACAGCUUCCACCCCACGCUGAGAAGGAAGUCAGGACUGUUGAUGGGCUGCACUUCCCAACCAUGCAGAAGUACAGCACCAAAAAUUGGUUUGGUGCUCUACAUCCACGGAGAAGUCACCCAAGUUGCUCCCAGGAAGAUCCUUGGGUAGGAGGGAUGUGCAGGGAUGCUGAACACCUGUGAGAUGUAUGUGCUUGCAAAUUGGUUACAAGCUCCUGCUGCUUGGUCACCUGCACUAACUGGACAGAUCCCACACAAGCCAUCCCGGAGUGUGCCUGGAUCUGGCGGGAGCUGGAGCGAUGCUCCCUGCCCAGCAGCACCCACACCCCCUCCCAGAACAUGAGGGAGAAGAAGAAAAACAGAUCAGGAUGAGACUUUUCAAGGGGGAAAAAUAAAAUAGCCAGGAUGUCCUUCUUGUUAGCAGGACCAAAUUCUUUCCUUGACUUUCAUUCCAGGAGAGGGUUUUUUUUUUUAACACAAAUGAACACAACUGGCUGAGCACAGGCAAAAAUGGCACAGCCAUUGUCACCCCACACCAUCCUCAUGCUCUGGAGACAAGCAUCAGUUCCUGCCAUACCAACACUAUUUCCUAGGUCCCACCUGAGGACUGACAAAGUAGCAAAGUAGCUCUCCUCUCUCCUGCAUUUCCAGGACAAAACAGGGCACAUUCGAAUUCUCGCUAUCAGAUAAAAUAGAUACAUCAACACAUACAAACACUUCAUAGAUGGAGAAGAAAAGACUCCACAAAUCCACACAGCUCAGCACACUGCCUACUGCAAGCACAGAGCCAGAAAUAUUUCUUCCAAUUACAGGGGUGAGGCACACAAAGUCAGGGGACUUUCUUUCCCUCCAGCAGAUCAGGUGAGAUGUCGCACUGCACGAGCCUUGUAAUAUUGACUGAGUGGAACAGAAAAGUCCAAUUAUGUAAAUGAUGAAGCAGGUUCCCGGGAAGCAGCCAGCCCUAUCACACUGUCCUUCACCACCACUGGCUUGAAAGGCAAUUUAGAAGGUUGUUUUGGAUGUCGAUCACCACAAACGAGCUGAAGAAGUGUGAAACAACCUGUGCUUGAGGCACCAUCAGCUCUCCUGUUGGAUUUCCAGCUGGACCAAGCCUUGGCCCUGGUGCCUGUGGCUCGAGGAGCACUGCAGGCUGGAGCAGACAGGGCAAGGGGAGACCCAGGCUGCAAGCAGCUCUGGGAAGGGUCAAAGGGUUUUACAUCCUGCCUCUGGAAUGUUUCUGCAGCCCAUGAAGGUUUUUCUUGCUGUACCUGAGUCUCUCAGACCAUAAGUUCAGUUCUCUGGCCAUGGGAACUUCAGCUGAGAAAUGGAAUAAAACCAGUUGUCUUACAAUCAUGGUGCUCCUUUCCUUCGCCCCUCAGAUGGGGGAGCCAAACAUCUCACAAGGACUCGCGUAAAAGCAUCUGCUUUUCAAAUGAAACCAGCACGAGUCCAUGCAUGGGAUGGAGACUCCAGAUACAACACACCUCAGGCUGUUCCCUUGGCUCCCUGUCCACACUGGUGCAUGGCAGGGGCUGCUGACCACCCCUGCAGCCAUCCUGGCACAGUGGGCAAUGGAACAGACUGCCAGGCAUGCCAGGAGAGCCGCUCUGCUUGCACACCACAGGCACACAUUCCCAAAGGUGUGUGUUCACAGCUGAGCAGGGGUUGACACACUGACACUCAUCCCAUCCUCCCAUGAUUUGGAAAUUGUCUUCAGAGGAGGGAGGAAAUCCAGCCAGAAGUGUUAGUGCUGUGGCAACGUGAACAACGCAAAUAUUUCAGCUUUUAAAUAUGUUUGGAAUGACAGAGAAUGCCAACAUGUCCCUCAUCUUCCCAGAAAUAGCUUUGAAUCAUUGCUCCCCUAACGUAAAUUCCCCACCCCACCAAAUAAUUAUUUAUUUAAUUUUUUUUUUUGCAACCAGAUUUUUAUCAGCCAGAAGUCGACAGUGUGAGCAAGCACACGGCAGACGGGUGGGUGUCAAACACGUCACAGGAGGAUCCUCCUGGCUCGACAGCCCCGGCUCCACUGGAGCUGCUGUGCUCAACAGCCCCACGCCCCUGAUGGGCGCCCAACGCCACUGGCUCGGCUUCACAGGGAGAGCCCAGCUGCAAGGAGAGUUAACAAGAACUGCUGCUCUCAGCAAGGGAAGGAGGACAAAAGCAGGAAAGACGUAGGUGUGUUUGUACCCGCUAGAAUUGUUUCAUUUCACUGCUCAGAUCUGAGGUUAGAGUUACUUCUAUAGAAGUGCACUCCUCCAAGAGGUGGGGAGGCCACACGGCAUGUGCAGGCUUUGCAUGGAGCACCCCACAGUCCUCAGGACAAGAAGUUCUUGUCAUGGCACAGUGAGGAAUUUCAUUUUCCACAGGGCUGGUGAAGCCAGGCACUGGCACAGGUCUCUGCGCCUCACUUGGGUUCUGGAUAACUGGGAUGAAGCAACAGGCUGCUGGCAGCAUUGGUGUGUCCCCUGUCCAUUGGUGCUCUCACAGCUCCACAGGAUCCCUCUGCAUGGGUCUCCUGCAGGGCUUGCUGGCAGCCAGCCCCUCCUCCCCACCAGAUGUGGGCACAGCUGGCCAAGGAAGCAUCUCCCUUCUCUUACAGCAGAGAUGCUCAGCUGGGGAAACCAGACUUGCUCUGUGUCUCAGUCCCCACUGGCAGACAUUCCCCAAAAGCCCAUGGAACAAGCCCAGAGCUCUUUUGCUCAAGUGAAAAACAACCUCCCGUGGGGUAGGGAGAGCCCAGAGUGAUCCCCGCUGCAAACUCAGAGGCUAUGGGAGGACACACAUCCAGGGACGGCCGACGCUCACAGCUUGUUCCAUUCUCCAGCCCCUCUGCGCUAUUGUUCCACAGCAAUAAAUCACGGGGAGGCGCUGGAAUUCCGGGCUGUUUUCCCCAGGAGGGAGCCUGGGGUGCCGGAACCGAGAUGCUGCCUGGCUGUGCCUGCCAAUUCCCUCGGUGACCGCCGCGCUGAGCCCUCCACUCCCACGCAUCCCGCCGGAGCACCACGGCUCUCCCGGUUCAAAGCGUGUCCACCCCCUCCGCUCCCUUCCCCCAGCCCUGGAUUACUCAAUUAGAGAUUAUGCUUUUGCCAGUUACCUCCAAGCCAACUGGGGCCUCUGCCAAGGUCAACACGAGUUCCAGCCAGUUUCAUUAAUAACUGCGAGACCAACCCACUGGAAACUCUGAGAGGUUAAUCCCAGCAACAGAUCAAUGUUCCCAUAACACAGGCACGGAGCAGAAACGCAACUGGUGAUUUACCAGCCAGCCCAGCUAUCUGUGCUGGGAGCUGUGGCACUGCUCCUCCACCCCAUACCAGGGCAUACCAUGCUGCCAGAGACCUGAGCCUCCCGCUCCUCUCCCCCAGUGCAUUUGUCAGGGAUGGAGCAGCUGCCAGGGAGCAGCACUGCCAAGGCAGCGGCGCAGUGAGGAGGAAGCAGAGCUCCCGAAAGGCCUUUCUGCUGUCCUCAGUGCCCACCAGCCUGCGGCCAGGGCAGGAGUUAGCAGGCUGGCCAAGAGCCUUUUCCAUCCCACAGCCUGUCUUCCAGGAGUUCAUUGUAAAUUGGGCUCUGGGAUGGGCAGCCAGUGUGAAAUUUGGCAUGUACGCUGCUGGCUUCAAUGCAUCAUUAAAAAGGCAUUUCAAAUGUG